AUGGAUUUUAGAGCGCCAUUUUGGGCCAAGGCCAAACGCAACGUCCAAACGAUGUGCUGUCACGAUUUGCAUUUGCUUGUUUAGACUCAAAACAGCUUUGAAACUCAUCCUGGACUGGUUCUUUAACAUAACAGCACCUGAGGGCAGGAGACAGCAGGUUAUGUGUCCAGGUCUUUCUCGCACACCUUCCUCGACUCCAUCACUCCCACCCGAGAAGGUCUUAAAAAAGGUCUUAAAGUCUUACAUUUGAGCUCCAAAAUCCUGCAGAAACCCUGGAAGACGACUGUGUGAAAUUAAAGUUUGGUUACAUCCUGUCUACUACUAUACCUACAUG